rnacentral:lncRNA from 1 species
ACCAGUCUCCCCUGACCCGUGGCUCGCCCCUCCGCCCGCAGAUGGCCACUUCUAUCAGAAAUGGGCUCCGCUGCAAGAUCCCCGGGACACCCGCGCCGGGACCAAAGGCUUCGUCAAGGUCACUUUGUCCGUGCGGGCGCGCGGGGACCUGCCCCCUCCGCGGCUCCGCUGCCAGCCCCGGACCCAGGGCACAGUUCGGACAUCGAGAAGUGAGCUGGGGUGAGAGCGGGUGGUGGGAGGGUGGAGAGUAGGACCCCGCGUGGCCUCCGGGAGGCGGAGAGGGGGAGGGGCCGAGACGGCGGCCUCCCCCGGCCUCAGCGCCGCGCUCCCCUAGGAACCUGCUCCUGCCGCGCGGGGUGCCGGCCCAGAGUGCGCGGCUGCGCGUGCGCGUGUACNGAGCGGAGGGGCUGCGGGCGCUGCGCGGGGGGCUGCUGGGGAGUCUGGCCCGCGCCCUGCAGGACCAGCGCGUCCUCCUGGACCCCUACGUGCGCGUGUCUUUCCUGGGGCAGCAGAACCUGUUGGCAAAGCAAGGACUGCGGCUUCUACAGCGUCUGAGGCAGGACGCCGUGCAAGAGAAGGUGGCCCUGGCCAGGAAGCUCUUGGCAAAACUGUGCUUCCUGGCCCGGGAGGUAAUACCGGGCCACCAUUUCCCUGCCGUGACUACCCUGCGGGCGACGGUCGCCCAAUAGUGAUUGAGGUCAGCGUCCUACUGAACCGUACAUUCAAAAAUGGUUGCAGUGAACUAAUGAAGCAUCGAACUUUACAUCGGAAUCCGGGGAUGUACUGUAUGGUGACUAACACAAUAUAAUAAAAUAUCAUUAAAAAAA